GAUGAACGCUGGCGGCGUGCCUAAUACAUGCAAGUCGAGCGAACAGACGAGGAGUUUUCUCCUCUGACGUUAGCGGCGGACGGGUGAUUAACACGUGUCUAACCUACCUAUAAGACUUGGAUAACUUCGCGAAACCUGAUCUAAUACCGGAUAAUAUAUUGAACCGCAUGGUUCAAUAGUGAAUGACGUUUUUGCUGUCACUUAUAGCUGCUUCCGCGCCGCAUUAGCUAGUUGGUAAGGUAACGGCUUACCAAGGCAACGAUGCGUAGCCGACCUGAGAGGGUGAUCGGCCACACUGGAACUGAGACACGGUCCAGACUCCUACGGGAGGCAGCAGUAGGGAAUCUUCCGCAAUGGGCGAAAGCCUGACGGAGCAACGCCGCGUGAGUGAUGAAGGUGUUCGGAUCGUAAAACUCUGUAAGUAGGGAAGAACAAAUGUGUAAGUAACUAUGCACGUCUUGACGGUACCUAAUGAGAAAGCAACGGCUAACUACGUG
rnacentral:rRNA from 1 species